rnacentral:rRNA from 1 species
AGAGUUUGAUCCUGGCUCAGGACGAACGCUGGCGGCGUGCCUAAUACAUGCAAGUCGAGCGGAGGAAGCACCUUCGGGUGUGGAAUCAGCGGCGGACGGGUGAGUAACGCGUGGGCAACCUGCCUGCAAGAUCGGGAUAACCCCGGGAAACCGGAGCUAAUACCGAAUAAUCUUUCUCCUCGCAUGGGGAGGAAGUAAAAGAAGGUUUUAAGCCUUCACUUGCAGAUGGGCCCGCGGCGCAUUAGCUAGUUGGUGAGGUAGAGGCUCACCAAGGCGACGAUGCGUAGCCGACCUGAGAGGGUGAUCGGCCACACUGGGACUGAGACACGGCCCAGACUCCUACGGGAGGCAGCAGUAGGGAAUUUUCCGCAAUGGGCGCAAGCCUGACGGAGCAACGCCGCGUGAGUGAGGACGGUUUUCGGAUUGUAAAGCUCUGUCCUUUCGGAAGAACAGCAAGGAGAGGAAAUGCUCCUUGUGUGACGGUACGAAAGAAGAAAGCCCCGGCUAACUACGUGCCAGCAGCCGCGGUAAUACGUAGGGGGGGCAAGCGUUGUCCGGAAUUAUUGGG